CGAACUUGCACGGUCCCAAUACAUAUAUCCAUACGCACGGAGCAUUAGCAUUAGAACGCGUGUUUGAGGCCUUAGUUGUUUCAUUAUUAUUGUAGGCAGCACCCUGGAUCAAGGUUCAUAGAUAGGGGGUAGGUUGUCUCGUAACUAAGUGGGCGGAAGCGAGGGGGACGGGACUGUCUACGUCACUCAUACGACAAAGUCAAAUUUAACAGUUGUUUGUUGUUAUGUUUCCGUAUAUUUUUGUGGAAUUUUCUUAUAAUAUCGUUUAUUUGUUUAAUACUUGUUGAGUUUUUAACUAUAUAAAGACAAUGUUACUAUACAUAUUUCCAACUCCAAAACUCCUGAACCAGAUGGUAACAAAAUGUUUUUUACAUUUCCUACAUACUCGAACAUAAUCAAACAAUGGGUAAUGAAAUGCUGCCAUAACGAUAAAUGGAUCUCUAAACAUAAGACAAUAUGUAGCAAACACUUCCUCGUGUCUGAUUAUGUUAAUAUGAUGUUAUGUGUUUUUUGUAUUUUUACCUAAUAAUAAAUUACGUAUAUUAUUAGUUUUUUUGUUGUUUCAUACCACUAGAAAUGAUAAAAAUUCUACACAUUCCACGAAAAACAUAAUAGGUAAGCACCUACAUAUUAGUAUUUUUGCUUUUAAACUUUUUCGUAUACUUUUUUUGUGUUUUUGUGCGAAUUAAAGUGUUUUCUCCAUUUAAAACACACAUAAUAAGUGUCAAAAUUAAUUGUAGUUUUUUGUCAGUAGACUAUUAAUUUUUAAGGGAAAAUUUAUAUAAUUACCAAUAUAAGAACCACUUAAUAUAUCUACCUAUACCCAUGAUACUAUAAAUAACUUUAUAGUAUCAUGCCUAUACCCCAAGAAAAUCCCAGAAUAUAUUGCAAAACCUAAGUUUUUGAACCUUUUAUUAGCAUUGAACUGAGGUUACGAGACAACCUACCUAAAAUAGUUUUUGAAUCCUUUCAGAAACUACGCACAUAGUUUAACGUUAAUUGACAUUUGGCAAACGUAACCUAUAAAACGGCAGUUGUGUGCUAUGACCUAUUUUAUUGAAUUAUUUGCCAUAAUGGAAGAAAAUAUUGAAAAUAUAUUAAGAGGUUCACCAAAGACAAUUUACUAAUUUAAAUAAGAACCCAAAAAAUCCAUACCAAGUUUAACAAGACAAUUCAGUCAAGUGUCAGAUUUCUCAAAUUCUAACAGGGUUGCCAAGCAGGUUAUGUUAUGUAGUGAUAGUUUUAAAGAAAAACAAAUUUUGAUUACAAUUUUAUACAUCG
rnacentral:lncRNA from 1 species